GAGUUUGAUCCUGGCUCAGGACGAACGCUGGCGGCGUGCUUAAUACAUGCAAGUCGAACGAGGAGCAGGGUGCUUGCACCCUGUAGCCGAGUGGCGAACGGGUGAGUAACACGUGACCAAUCUAUCCUCGAGUGGGGGACAAUCUGGGGAAACCCGGGCUAAUACCGCAUAUCGCCCCGUGGCCGCAUGGCCGCGGGAUGAAAGGAGGCCUCUACUUGUAAGCUUUCGCUCGAGGGGGGGGUCGCGGCGUAUCAGCUAGUUGGUGGGGUAACGGCCCACCAAGGCGACGACGCGUAGCGGGUCUGAGAGGACGACCCGUCACAUUGGGACUGAGAUACGGCCCAGACUCCUACGGGAGGCAGCAGUAGGGAAUAUUGCGCAAUGGCCGAAAGGCUGACGCAGCGACGCCGCGUGUGGGAGGACGCCCUUCGGGGUGUAAACCACUGUCAGAAGGGAAGAACUUCGGGCUCCCGAAUAAGGAGCUCGGUUGACGGUACCUUCAGAGGAAGCGCCGGGUAACUCCGUGCCAGCAGCCGCGGUAAGACGGAGGGCGCAAGCGUUGUUCGGAAUUACUGGGCGUAAAAGCGCACGCAGGCGGUCCCUUAAGUCCUCCGUGAAAUUCCGGGGCUCACCCCGGAGGUGCGGAGGAUACUGAGGGACUGGAGACCGGUAAAGGCUAGCGGAAUUCCUGGGGAGCGGUGGAAUGCGUA
rnacentral:rRNA from 1 species